rnacentral:rRNA from 1 species
GACAGAGGAGCCAAGCGUUGUCCGGAUUGACUGGGCGUAAAGCGCACGCAGGCGGCUGUGCACGUGGGGCGUGAAAGCUGGCGGCUUAACUGCCAGACGCCACCUCAUACGGCACGGCUCGAGCCCGUGAGAGGUCCACGGAAUUGCCGGUGUAGUGGUGAAAUGCGUAGAGAUCGGCAGGAACACCCAGGGGGAAACCAGUGGACUGGCACGGUGCUGACGCUCAGGUGCGAAAGCGUGGGGAGCGAACCGG